CGCCACCAGCUAGCCCAUCAAAUAUACUAAUCGCCUUUCCCCCCCCCCCCCAACUAAAACAUUCAACAAACCUAGUAUAAGCGACAGAAAAGAAACAAUGACGCAAUAGCAAAACAGUACCGUAAGGGACCGAUGAAAAAUAAAUUAAACAAUUAAAGCACAACACAGCAAGGAUAACCCCCCGUACCUUUUGCAUCAUGGUUUAGCAAGUAAUAGCAGAUAUAGAGUGCUUCAAUCUGAUUACCCGAAACCAGACGAGCUACCUUAUAGCAAUCUAAAGGAUAAACCCGUCUCUGUGGCAAAAGAGUGGGAAGACUAUAAGAUAGAGGUGAAACGCCUACCGAGCCUGGUGAUAGCUGGUUGCUCAUAAAAUGAAUUUAAGUUCAACUGCAGGACUAACUAAACUACACAAAAAUACCCACGACACCCCUGCAAGCUAUACAAUAAGGGUACAGCCUUAUUGUAACUGGGUACAACCAAAACUAGAGGAACAGCACACCAAACAAUAAUACUAGUAGGCCCUAAAGCAGCCAACAAAAAAGACCGCGUCACAGCGCAAAUAUAUACUAAUAUAAAUAGGCACCACAACCCCCUAUGAACACAUUGAGCUACCCUAAACUAUUAUUAGGGGAAACACUGCUAAAACUAGUAAUAAGAAAAAAUUCUCUACUGGCACAACCUCAACUCAGCACUAGAUAAACUACUGAAAACUAACAGCCCAAAAACUGGUCUAAACACACACACCAAGACAUCUGAAACAUAAAACUGUUACACCAACACAGGAGUGCCCUAAAGACCGAUUAAAAGCCAUAAAAGGAACUCAGCUAACAUGCCCCAACUGUUUACCAAAAACAUAGCCUUUAGCCAAUUCAAGUAUUAAAGGUUCUGCCUGCCCAGUGAUAUAUUUUAACGGCCGCGGUAUCCUAACCGUGCAAAGGUAGCGUAAUCAUUUGUCCCUUAAAUAGGGACUGGUAUGAAUGGCUAAAUGAGGGUAUAACUGUCUCCUAUGGCCAAUCAAUGAACCUGAUCUUCCAGUACAAAAGCUGGAAUGCACACAUAAGACGAGAAGACCCUGUGGAGCUUAAAACAAUAGUACCACCAAAAUUAACAAACCUAAUAGGCCACACUGAAAUACACACUGGUACCAGUUUUCCGUUGGGGCGACGUCGGAAUAAAACUAAACUUCCGAGCCACAAAUUAACACCAUAUCAAGACCUACAAGUCAAAAUAAAUAACCAACUUGACCCAGUACUACUGAUAAUCGAACCAAGUUACCCCAGGGAUAACAGCGCCAUCCUCUUUAAGAGCCCAUAUCGCCAAGAGGGUUUACGACCUCGAUGUUGGAUCAGGACAUCCAGGUGGUGCAGCCGCUACCAAUGGUUCGUUUGUUCAACGAUUAACCAGUCCUACGUG
rnacentral:rRNA from 1 species